GGGCUAACUUCAUCCACACAUGGACUAAAAUUGGAACAAAAAAGAGAUUCGCAUGGCCCCUGUGCAAGGAUGAUGUGAAAAUUCAUGAAGGGUUCCAUAUUAAA
rnacentral:snRNA from 1 species